ensembl:lncRNA
GUUGGAUCAUGAAGAAGGCUGAGCACCAAAGAAUUGAUGCUUUUAAAUGGUGAUUCUGGAGAAGACUCUUGAGAGUCCCAUGGACAGCAGGGAGAUCAAACCAGUCAAUCCUAAAGGAAAUCUACCUUCAAUAUUCAUUGGAAGGACUGAUGGUGAAGCUCCAAUACUUUGGAUAUCAGAUAUGAAGAGCCAACUCAUCUGAAAAGACCCUGAUGCUGGGAAAGAUUGAAAGAAAAAGAAGAAGGCAGCAGAGGAUGAGAUGGUUAGAUAGCAUCACUGACUCAAUGGACAAGAAUUUGAGCAAACUCUAGGAGUUAGUGAAGGGCAGGGGAGUGUGGCAUGUUGCACUCCAUGUGAUCACAAAGAGUUGGACAUGACUGAGCAACUGAAGAGCAACAUGACUGAUUCGCAGUGAUGUACAGUAGAGAUUACAGCAACAUGUGUGCAAAGAGUAGCAUGAUAUUUCAUUUGAGAUAGCUGGCAAUCAUAUGAGAAGAAGGAAAAGAGGGGACAAAUAUUCCAGAGGACAGCAGAGAAACACACUGAGGAAAGUUUCUGAAGCUAACUCAAUCUCAGACAAUGAGCACCAUUCACAAGGAAUAUGAGGGAAAUGAAGUGAAGUUAAUAUUGUCCCUGCUGCUGUUCCUGUCAUCAUAUCCAAAGGAUUUGGGGUUGCCAUGAUUUUAACAGAGAACAUUAUCCUGGACACUAUUUACCUAACAGGUGGUUGAAGACAAUGAAAGUCAGUAGUUGUUGGCAGUUAUACUGAACUAUUAUUGCUUUUCCAUGUCUUCCUUUCCAGGCAACUUUGCAGUUCCUCUUAUAAAAAUACAAACUGGGCUUCAGUAACCCUGGAGCUCAGCCAAAGAACUGCUCUGGUCAGAGGAAUUUGGGCAUAAGUGACAGAGUGCUGGUCCCAAACUUAGGCAUUGACAGGCCUUGUCUAUUUCCAGUU